rnacentral:tRNA from 1 species
AGAGUAAUUGCUCAGUGGCAGAGUGCAUGCUUAGCAUUCAUGAGGUCCUGGAUUCAAUCCCCGGUACCUCCA